rnacentral:rRNA from 1 species
UAGACCUACGGGAGGCAGCAGUGGGGGAUAUUGCACAAUGGGGGAAACCCUGAUGCAGCGACGCCGCGUGGGUGAAGAAGCGCCUCGGCGCGUAAAGCCCUGUCAGCAGGGAAGAAAAUGACGGUACCUGAAGAAGAAGCCCCGGCUAACUACGUGCCAGCAGCCGCGGUAAUACGGAGGGGGCAAGCGUUAUCCGGAUUUACUGGGUGUAAAGGGGGCGCAGAGGGCGAUGCAAGCCAGGAGUGAAAGCCCGGGGACCAACCCCGGGACUGCGCUUGGAACUGCGUGGCUAGAGGGCAG